UGGCUCAGAUUGAACGCUAGCGGGAUGCCUUACACAUGCAAGUCGAACGGCAGCACGGACUUCGGUCUGGUGGCGAGUGGCGAACGGGUGAGUAAUGUAUCGGAACGUGCCUAGUAGCGGGGGAUAACUACGCGAAAGCGUAGCUAAUACCGCAUACGCCCUACGGGGGAAAGCAGGGGAUCGCAAGACCUUGCACUAUUAGAGCGGCCGAUAUCGGAUUAGCUAGUUGGUGGGGUAACGGCUCACCAAGGCGACGAUCCGUAGCUGGUUUGAGAGGACGACCAGCCACACUGGGACUGAGACACGGCCCAGACUCCUACGGGAGGCAGCAGUGGGGAAUUUUGGACAAUGGGGGAAACCCUGAUCCAGCCAUCCCGCGUGUGCGAUGAAGGCCUUCGGGUUGUAAAGCACUUUUGGCAGGAAAGAAACGUCAUGGGUUAAUACCCCGUGAAACUGACGGUACCUGCAGAAUAAGCACCGGCUAACUACGUGCCAGCAGCCGCGGUAAUACGUAGGGUGCAAGCGUUAAUCGGAAUUACUGGGCGUAAAGCGUGCGCAGGCGGUUCGGAAAGAAAGAUGUGAAAUCCCAGAGCUUAACUUUGGAACUGCAUUUUUAACUACCGAGCUAGAGUGUGUCAGAGGGAGGUGGAAUUCCGCGUGUAGCAGUGAAAUGCGUAGAUAUGCGGAG
rnacentral:rRNA from 1 species